rnacentral:rRNA from 1 species
AGAGUUUGAUCCUGGCUCAGGACGAACGCUGGCGGCGCGCCUAACACAUGCAAGUCGAACGAGCGAGAGAGAGCUUGCUUUCUCGAGCGAGUGGCGAACGGGUGAGUAACGCGUGAGGAACCUGCCUCAAAGAGGGGGACAACAGUUGGAAACGACUGCUAAUACCGCAUAAGCCCACGGGUCGGCAUCGACCAGAGGGAAAAGGAGCAAUCCGCUUUGAGAUGGCCUCGCGUCCGAUUAGCUAGUUGGUGAGGUAAUGGCCCACCAAGGCGACGAUCGGUAGCCGGACUGAGAGGUUGAACGGCCACAUUGGGACUGAGACACGGCCCAGACUCCUACGGGAGGCAGCAGUGAGGAAUAUUGGUCAAUGGGCGGAAGCCUGAACCAGCCAUGCCGCGUGAAGGACUAAGGCCCUAUGGGUCGUAAACUUCUUUAGACGCAGAGCAAUAAGGGCCUCGUGAGGUCCGAUGAGAGUAUGCGUAGAAUAAGCAUCGGCUAACUCCGUGCCAGCAGCCGCGGUAAUACGGGGGAUGCGAGCGUUAUCCGGAUUUAUUGGGUUUAAAGGGUGCGUAGGCGGCGAAUUAAGUCAGCGGUGAAAGACCGGGGCUCAACCCUGGAAGUGCCGUUGAUACUGAUUGGCUAGAAUACCCUUGCCGUGGGAGGAAUGAGUGGUGUAGCGGUGAAAUGCAUAGAUAUCACUCAGAACACCGAUUGCGAAGGCAUCUCACGAAGGGGCGAUUGACGCUGAGGCACGAAAGCGUGGGGAUCGAACAGGAUUAGAUACCCUGGUAGUCCACGCAGUAAACGAUGAUGGCUAACUGUCGGGCCUGCGGGUUCGGCGGCCAAGCGAAAGCGAUAAGCCAUCCACCUGGGGAGUACGACCGCAAGGUUGAAACUCAAAGGAAUUGACGGGGGCC